rnacentral:rRNA from 1 species
UACGUAGGGGGCUAGCGUUGUCCGGAAUCAUUGGGCGUAAAGAGCGUGUAGGCGGCCCGGUAAGUCCGCUGUGAAAGUCGGGGGCUCAACCCUCGAAAGCCGGUGGAUACUGUCGGGCUAGAGUGCGGAAGAGGCGAGUGGAAUUCCUGGUGGUAGCGGUGAAAUGCGUAGAUAUCGAAGAGGAACACCUGCGGCGAAGGCGGGUUGCUGGGCCGAUACUGACGCUGAGGAGCGAAAGCGUGGGAGCGAACAGG